rnacentral:rRNA from 1 species
UACGUAGGGUGCAAGCGUUGUCCGGAAUUAUUGGGCGUAAAGAGCGUGUAGGCGGCCAGGUAGGUGGGUUGUGAAAACUGGAGGCUCAACCUUCAGACGUCGACCCAAACCCCCUGGCUAGAGUCCGGAAGAGGAGAGUGGAAUUCCUGGUGUAGCGGUGAAAUGCGCAGAUAUCAGGAAGAACACCCGUGGCGAAGGCGGCUCUCUGGGACGGUACUGACGCUGAGACGCGAAAGCGUGGGGAGCGAACAGG